GACGAACCGUGCGAACGUUAUUCGGAAUCACUGGGCUUAAAGGGCGCGUAGGCGGGUCCGUAAGUCAGGGGUGAAAUCCCACGGCCCAACCGUGGAAGUGCCUCUGAUACUGCGGGCCUCGAGGGGGGUAGGGGCGUGCGGAACUCAGGGUGGAGCGGUGAAAUGCGUAGAUAUUCGGAGGAACACCAGUGGCGAAGGCGGCUCACUGGCUCGAUACUGACGCUGAGGUGCGAAAGCGUGGGGAGCAAACAGG
rnacentral:rRNA from 1 species